rnacentral:rRNA from 1 species
CACUGAACUCAAAUCAGGUAAGAUUACCCGCUGAAUUUAAGCAUAUUAAUAAGCGGAGGAAAAGAAACUAACAAGGAUUCCCCUAGUAACGGCGAGUGAAGCGGGAAAAGCUCAAGCUUAAAAUCGGUUAAUUUGAAAUAGUUGAUCGAGUUGUAGCUUUUGAAAGCAGAUUUAGCUAUUAUUUAUGGUAAAAGUUCUUUUGAAUAAGACAUCAAAGAGGGUGAAAAUCCCGUCAUUGACCAUAAGAACGAUAAUAGUUUACAAACUGUUUUUCUUGAGUCGGGUAGUUUGGGAAUGCUGCCCUAAUUGGGAGGUAAAUUUCUUCCAAAGCUAAAUAUUAGCAAGAGACCGAUAGCAAACAAGUACCGUGAGGGAAAGAUGAAAAGCACUUUGAAAAGAGAGUGAAAAGUACGUGAAAUUGUUGAAAGGGAACCGGUUAGUAGCCAAGGUUUCUAAGUUUGGAAUUUCUGAAUUUGGAGGGUCAACAUGGGUUAGUUUUGUUGGAAAGGAUUUAAAGAAGGUUCGAAUUUGACAUUAGUUGAAUUUGGUUAUAGCUUUAAUGAACUGCAAUGGAAUUGACCGAGGUCGAUAGUGAGCGUAAGCGAGUUUUUGAUGUUUGAACUUUGGGGAGUUUUGUUAAACAGCAUGCUGGUUAAUGGAAUGUUUCUGGAGGUAGGAUGUUGAGAAACUAAAUCACUUUGGAUGUUGGCGAAAAGGCACUAAUCGACCCGUCUUGAAACACGGACCAAGGAGUCCAACAUAUAUGCGAGUAUGUGGGAGUAAAACCCAUAUGCGGAAUGAAAGUGAGAUAGAAUGCGACCUUUUUAAGGGCAGCAUCGACCGAUUUUUGAUAGCGUUGCUUGAAGAAAUUGAGUAAGAGCAUAUAUGCUGGGACCCGAAAGAUGGUGAACUAUGCCUGAAUAGGGUGAAGUCAGAGGAAACUCUGAUGGAAGCUCGUAGCGAUUCUGACGUGCAAAUCGAUCGCCAAAUUUGGGUAUAGGGGCGAAAGACUAAUCGAACCAUCUAGUACCUGGUUCCUGC